GAUGAACGCUGGCGGCGUGCCUAAUACAUGCAAGUCGAGCGAACGGACGAGAAGCUUGCUUCUCUGAUGUUAGCGGCGGACGGGUGAGUAACACGUGGAUAACCUACCUAUAAGACUGGGAUAACUUCGGGAAACCGGAGCUAAUACCGGAUAAUAUUUUGAACCGCAUGGUUCAAAAGUGAAAGACGGUCUUGCUGUCACUUAUAGAUGGAUCCGCGCUGCAUUAGCUAGUUGGUAAGGUAACGGCUUACCAAGGCAACGAUGCAUAGCCGACCUGAGAGGGUGAUCGGCCAAACUGGAACUGAGACACGGUCCGGACUCCUACGGGAGGCAGCAGUAGGGAAUCUUCCGCAAUGGGCGAAAGCCUGACGGAGCAACGCCGCGUGAGUGAUGAAGGUCUUCGGAUCGUAAAACUCUGUUAUUAGGGAAGAACAUAUGUGUAAGUAACUGUGCACAUCUUGACGGUACCUAAUCAGAAAGCCACGGCUAACUACGUG
rnacentral:rRNA from 1 species